rnacentral:lncRNA from 1 species
CCCGCCUCCUGUAUGCCAAAGCGACCCCGCCCGCCCGCCGGGCCGCGUCCCCGUGCGCCAGGCGGCGGGGCUCCAGGGCGGCCGCAGCAAGCAGGUGGGGGCGGCGGCUCCGCCUCCGCGUCCCGGCAGCGCCUGGAGCGAGCGGGGAGCACAGAGCCCGGCUCAGCCAGGCGCGCAGCGACAACGCCAGCCACGGUCCGCAGACCGAGAGUGGACAGCGGGGACGGCGGGGACGGCGGCGCCAGCGCGAGUCCAGUGGCCCGGUUAGGGCCAGCUGCAGAUCUUCAUGCAGAGUGCUGGAAAGGGAAGUGUGGUCUUCAUGGGGAUUCCUGGACCUCUCAGGCAGCUCCACCCCUUUCUGGAUCUCAGGUCUACAUCUCUCCUCACCACAGUACUUCAAAGAAUCAAACCCACUUCUCUCUGCCUGUGCUUCCCUCUGCUCUCCCUCACUCUUUAACACUAAGGUGGUCUGGCAAAGUGUCCUGGAGUUUAUCUGGCCUUGUCCUUCUCCGAAUUCCAAU